GUUAAUGUAGCUUAUCCCAAAGCAAAGCACUGAAAAUGCUUAGAUGGCCUUUACUCAGGCCCAUAAACA